AGCAUUCCUCGUGACAUCGGACCGCACGGAACGAGACCGGAACGGAACCGAACGUCGUUCGAAAUUAGCGUUUUAAGCUUCUUGCGGACAUAUAGGAGUCUUAGACCCCGUGUCCUUCGCGCAUUCCGAAUCCCUAUGCCCGAACCAACACUCAUUGGCCACGGCAAUAAAGCGGUAAGCAUUAGCCGGGGACAACGAGUGUCAUUGCAUGUUUCACCCUCGGCCGCACCAGAAACGGGCAGCCUUAGGCGAACGGUGAAAGAUUGCCAACCGAAUUCCAUUAGCUAGGUAUGAAACACAGGAAACCGAACGAACGGCCAAUAAAAAUUGUGCCGAGAAAUGAAGAGGAAAGCACGGUAGAACGUCGCCGCACAAGGCCGGGAUCCAACC
rnacentral:misc_RNA from 1 species